GGAUGGUUGACUGAGUGGUUUAAGGUGUGAUAUUUGAGCUAUCAUAAGUCAUAUUGGCUUCGUAGGUUCAAAUCCUACACCAUCCG
rnacentral:tRNA from 2 species